GAUGAACGCUAGCUACAGGCUUAACACAUGCAAGUCGAGGGGCAGCAUGGUCUUAGCUUGCUAAGGCCGAUGGCGACCGGCGCACGGGUGAGUAACACGUAUCCAACCUGCCGUCUACUCUUGGACAGCCUUCUGAAAGGAAGAUUAAUACAAGAUGGCAUCAUGAGUUCACAUGUUCACAUGAUUAAAGGUAUUCCGGUAGACGAUGGGGAUGCGUUCCAUUAGAUAGUAGGCGGGGUAACGGCCCACCUGGUCUUCGAUGGAUAGGGGUUCUGAGAGGAAGGUCCCCCACAUUGGAACUGAGACACGGUCCAAACUCCUACGGGAGGCAGCAGUGAGGAAUAUUGGUCAAUGGGCGAGAGCCUGAACCAGCCAAGUAGCGUGAAGGAUGACUGCCCUAUGGGUUGUAAACUUCUUUUAUAAAGGAAUAAAGUCGGGUAUGUAUACCCGUUUGCAUGUACUUUAUGAAUAAGGAUCGGCUAACUCCGUG
rnacentral:rRNA from 1 species